rnacentral:rRNA from 1 species
GAUGAACGCUGGCGGCGUGCCUAAUACAUGUAAGUCGAGCGAACAGACGAGGAGCUUGCUCCUCUGACGUUAGCGGCGGACGGGUGAGUAACACGUGGAUCACCUCCCUAUAAGACUGGGAUAACUUCGGGACACCGGCGCUAAUCCCGGAUAAUAUAUUGAACCGCAUGGUUCAAUAGUGAAAGACGGUUUUGCUGUCACUUCUAGAUGGAUCCCGGCCGCAUUAGCUAGUUGGUACGGUAACGGCUUACCACGGCAACGAUGCGUAGCCGACCUGAGAGGGGGAUAGGCCACACUGGAACGGGGACACGGACCAGAGGCCUAAGGGAGGCAGCAGAAGGGAACCGGACGCAAUGGGCGAAAGCCUGACGGAGCAACGCCGCGUGAGUUAUGAAGGUCUUCGGUUCGUAAAACUCGGUUAUGAGGGAAGAACAGAUGUGGAAGGAACUAUGCAGUGCGUGACGGUACCGAAUCAGAAAGCCACGGCUAACUACGUG